rnacentral:rRNA from 1 species
UACAGAGGUCCCAAGCGUUGUUCGGAUUCACUGGGCGUAAAGGGUGCGUAGGUGGUGAGGUAAGUCGGAUGUGAAAUCUCCGGGCUCAACCCGGAAAUGGCAUUGGAAACUACCUUGCUGGAGGGUUUGAGGGGGAUUGGAAUACUUGGUGUAGCAGUGAAAUGCGUAGAUAUCAAGUGGAACACCAGUGGCGAAGGCGAAAUCCCUGGAAAAUACCUGACACUGAGGCACGAAAGCUAAGGGGAGCAAACAGG